CCUGAACAAUCCCUGAAAUGAAAUGUCGUCGAUAUAGACUAGUGUAGUUGGAAAACACCAAAGGA